UGGCGCAGCAGGGCGGCAUCGACCUUGCAGCGCUCGAGCCGCUGCAGCUCCCCCCGGUGCCGGUGGCCGCGUGCACCAA
rnacentral:tRNA from 1 species